GAUGAACGCUGGCGGCGUGCCUAAUACAUGCAAGUCGAACGCACAGCGAAAGGUGCUUGCACCUUUCAAGUGAGUGGCGAACGGGUGAGUAACACGUGGACAACCUGCCUCAAGGCUGGGGAUAACGUUUGGAAACAGAUGCUAAUACCGAAUAAAACUCAGUGUCGCAUGACACAAAGUUAAAAGGCGCUUUGGCGUCACCUAGAGAUGGAUCCGCGGUGCAUUAGUUAGUUGGUGGGGUAAAGGCCUACCAAGACAAUGAUGCAUAGCCGAGUUGAGAGACUGAUCGGCCACAUUGGGACUGAGACACGGCCCAAACUCCUACGGGAGGCUGCAGUAGGGAAUCUUCCACAAUGGGCGGAAGCCUGAUGGAGCAACGCCGCGUGUGUGAUGAAGGCUUUCGGGUCGUAAAGCACUGUUGUAUGGGAAGAACAGCUAGAAUAGGGAAUGAUUUUAGUUUGACGGUACCAUACCAGAAAGGGACGGCUAAAUACGUGCCAGCCGCCGCUGUAA
rnacentral:rRNA from 1 species